UAGCUUAGUGCCUUCGGGAACUUAGAGACAGGUGCUGCAUGGCUGUCGUCAGCUCGUGUUGUGAAAUGUUCGGUUAAGUCCCGUAACGAGCGCAACCCUUAUCCUUAGUUGCCAGCGAGUAAUGUCGGGAACUCUAGGGAGACUGCCAGUGAUAAACUGGAGGAAGGUGGGGACGACGUCAAGUCAUCAUGGCCCUUAUGGGUAGGGCUACACACGUGCUACAAUGGUCGGUACAAAGGGCUGCUAACUCGCGAGAGUACGCUAAUCCCACAAAGCCGAUCGUAGUCCGGAUUGGAGUCUGCAACUCGACUCCAUGAAGUCGGAAUCGCUAGUAAUCGCAAAUCAGAAUGUUGCGGUGAAUACGUUCCCGGGCCUU
rnacentral:rRNA from 1 species